AUAGCACCAUAAUAAGAUUCUAAAAGGAUAUAUAAUUAAGAGUGACAACCUCACGUAGAUUUGAAAUUUUGAAAAACAAAUAUAAAAAUAAUUGACUUUUGAGGGGAUAUAUAAAAUAUAUGUGCAAUUUUAUCAAAUUAAAAUAUUAGAAAUUAGAAUUGGCAUAAGGAUUAAACAUUCUCUGUUUUUGGGAAGGAGAAACAAACAUAGGAGAAUCCGAAGAAUUGUCUUAAAACAAAUUGUUCGGUUGCUAGGAUUUUUUUUUCUACACAUUAUGAUGGUGGACCCAAUAAAGAAUAUUGUUGUUUUUUCUAGUUUUAUUUUUCUUGGGAACAGAGAAGAUUAUUGAAUGCCAGCUGAAAUAUAUGAAGUAGGUUAUUUAAAUAAUUUAUGUGAUUUCUCAUCCAAAGAUCCCUUUACUAUUAUAAAACAUUUCGAUCUAAAAUUUACAAUGAGUAGUCAAGAUUUUACUUAACUAAGCUAAUCUCAAUAUUUAUAUACCAUUAACAAAUAAAUAUCUUAAAAAUAUAAAUUUAUCGAAUGAUUGCUCAAACCCUCAUCUUGUAAAUGAGCUUACUACAACAUAAUCAAAUUAAUAUUUUAUUUAUAAAAAUUAAUUUAUUUUAAGCUUUCGAUUUUUGGUAAGUUAGUCUACGUAGGUUUUGACACGAAUUGAAAUGUUUGUCGGCGCUCUCUCUCUGUCUUAUAACUAUUUUCUUGGCAACGAGGAUAUGAAAACAAAAAUGAACAAACCCUGAUCACUCGAUAACAGAACAAUACCAUGAAGAGCAAACCAAAAUAACAACAAUCAAUAUCACUUGAAUCGAACCAGAACCUUUCAUCAACGAGAUUAAUGUCGAGGAGGUCUCGAGGAAGCAAUUUCUUAAAAGCAUAAACUCGUCCUCCUCCUUCAUCGGCACCUCCUCACCAACUUUGAAACCCGCCGUCUUCAAUCAAGUCAUUGGGAAUAAGGGGUUGGCUGCGCAGGAGAGGGAGGAGUGAAGUAUUUAGGAUGGUGGAGAGAGAGGAAGGAGAGGAGAGGAGAGGAGAGGAGAGGAGAGCGUGGGCAGUGAUGCCUGAUCUCGUUUGCGGUGGUGGAGAUUCGUAUUUCCACUGGGGUUCGCCUACAAUCGCGCACCACCAAGAAGGCCGUGACACGUUAUUUCUUUUUCAAAACAUUUAUAUCCAACGUGCUUAAGUUGAAUCGACCGACUCUAAGUCAACUCGUAACUCCAUUCCAGUCAAGCUUUGUAUCCGAUUCAAACGUCAGGUCCAGCUCCAAAUCUCAAUCUGGGCCGUAGGAUCACAUGAUCCUACGAUCUUGAUCACAAAUUUGAUGACCGCAUCUAAUUCNNN
rnacentral:lncRNA from 1 species